CUGGAGUCCAGCCUGCUGGGCCCCGACUCUGGCAGGGCAGAGGAGGCAAACCGGGCACCCACAGCACCUGCGACCUCGGGUCCAGGCGCACAGUAAGAACACAGAGAGGCAUCGCGAGUCACGGCAGUGUUCCUAGAAAUGUCCACCCAGACCACCUACACGGCCUAUCGCCUGCUGGAGCUGGUUAUAAAUGACCUUCCCAGCUGUCCGCCCGAGGGAUUGUGUUUCAGUCGGCGUCGGGUCGGGGGCCAGGAAACUGUAUUGUAACAAGCUCACCCGUAAUUCUAUGUCCAGGCCCUUCUCUGGAAGCUCAGAGCAGAAAGAGGAACAGCUGCAUCCUGCACGCAGACUGAAAGAUAGCCAUUCCAGCCCCAGGCUUUCACUGUCCUUCCUUCUCUCCCUUAGCUGCUACUCCUCCAGAAUAAACGGUUUCCAUUUCUUUUGACUCCUAUUUUUCUAGCCUUUCUGAUCCCAUUUGCCCUCCCUUUGUUUCAUUGAGGCUGGGGCCACCAUCUCUGUCUUUUCCUCCCCAGAAUCUCCCACAAAAC
rnacentral:lncRNA from 1 species